rnacentral:rRNA from 1 species
CAACCCUGGCGGCGAGCGGCGAACGGGUGAGUAACACAUCGGAACGUACCCUAUCGGUGGGGGAUAACGAAUCGAAAGAUUCGCUAAUACCGCAUACGACCUGGAGGGUAGAAAGGCGGGGGAUCGCAAGACCUCGCGCGACAGGAGCGGCCGAUGGCGGAUUAGCUUAGGUUGGGUAGGGGUAAAGGCUCACCAAGGCGACGACUCCGUAGCGGGUCUGAGAGGACGGCCCGCCACACUGGGACUGAGACACGGCCCAGACUCCUACGGGAGGCAGCAGUGGGGAAUUUUGGACAAUGGGGGCAACCCUGAUCCAGCCAUUCCGCGUGAGUGAAGAAGGCCUUCGGGUUGUAAAGCUCUUUCGGCAGAAACGAAACGGCGGGCUCUAACAUAGCCCGUCAAUGACGGUACCUGAAGAAGAAGCACCGGCUAACUACGUG